ACUUUACCAGCCGUUUUAUACGUUUAUAAUACAGCAUUAUCUGAAUACUUACUUUAAUUUCCGACCGACAAGUCUCUGAGUACCUCUCUGGUCAAGUUCUUCCUUUUCUUGUUUGUUUAAACAUGAAUGGAAUACAUACGUAUAUUAUAUAUCUUACUGGAUUAUUAUCAGUUUUUAUAUACAUAUGUGAUUCGGAUACUAUUACUCUUUACUUGUCAAAGAAGAAAGUUCCAGGUUCACAAAGAGUCCUGAGUGGGAUUUGUAAUGCAACUGGACUAUCAAGAAAUGAAAUUGCUUUGACUGAUACAUAUUACAGCCCACCUAUUUUGGCAUGGAUAGGUGCAUUUGCAAAUUAUUCCCCUUGGAUAGAAUAUAAAGGUAUGACCAAAUAGUUUCGUCUAGAAGACGCAAGUGAAAGUACUUGAUUGUGAACUAUAUUUUUGUUUAUUUUUCAUCAAAACUGAUAAAUUAUGCCACUUCUAUUGUUUAAGAAAUAAGGUAAACAGUUUGUUUUCUAUUUCAUGUGCAGUUUAUUUGUUCUAAAUGUUGUAGACUAGUUAUGUGAUUUUGUCUUAAGUUGAAGACUUGUGAAUCUGUUGUGCAGCAGGUUUAACCGUGAAGCACGAAUUGUUUGAAAUACACUCAAUAAAAUUCGAAGUAUAUCGACAAU